UGUAAGAUCUCUUUUAGCUUGGUUUUUCCCCACUCCCCCAGCUGGGCUGAUCUGGGGCAGCUGGGUCCUGCAAUCAGAGCGGGACCGGGGCCAGCCCAGCACCUCCUCCACCUGCCCAAAUCCCCCACCUGGCUGCCGAUCAAGCCCUGCGCCCCCUGGACCCCCAAAACCCUGAAUCCCCAGCCCCUGGACCCCCAGCCCCUGGACUGCUGCUGGUUCUGGGCCCCAGGACCCCCCAGGAUGGGGAAAGGUUGUUUUGGACCCAGGGCUGAGGUUUUUGGCCCUCUCCAGCCUCCUGUCUCCACCCCUUCCUUGACAUUCGCUGCGUUUUUCAGUAAAGCCUUUGAGAAGUUCCAGGUUCCUCAAACGUCACAUUCUGCUGGGUUGAAAGCCUCGGAUUCGGUUGCAGGAAAUUAAUAAAUAUCUCUAUACACCCAGAAA